AUUGAACGCUGGCGGCAGGCCUAAUACAUGCAAGUCGAGCGGAGUGGCGGACGGGUGAGUAAUGCCUAGGAAUCUGCCCGGCAGUGGGGGAUAACGUACGGAAACGGGCGCUAAUAUCGUACACUAUUAGAUGAGCCUAGUUUGGAUUAGCUAGUUGGUAUGGUAAAGGCCUACCAAGGCGACGAUCCGUAACUGGUCUGCGAGGAGGAUCAGUCACACUGGAACUGAGACACGGUCCAGACUCCUACGGGAGGCAGCAGUAGGGAAUAUUGGGCAAUGGGCGAAAGCCUGAUGCAGCCAUGCCGCGUGUGUGAAGAAGGUCUUCGGAUUGUAAAGCUCUUUAAGUUGGGAGGCGGUACCAACAGAGUAAGCACCGGCUAACUACGUGCCAGCAGCCGCGGUAAUAC
rnacentral:rRNA from 1 species